AUUGAACGCUGGCGGCAGGCUUAACACAUGCAAGUCGAGCGGGGACUUCGGUCCUAGCGGCGAACGGGUGCGGAAUGCUUGGGAAUCUGCCCAGUCGUGGGGGAUAACGUGUCGAAAGUAGCGCUAAUACCGCCUACGCCCUACGGGGGUAUGGGGGGGAUCUUCGGACCUCUCAGUACUGGAGGAGCCAAAGUCGGAUUAGCUAGUUGGUGGGAUAAAGGCCUACCAAGACGACGAUCCGUAGCUGGUCUGAGAGGAUGAUCAGCCACACUGGAACUGAGACACGGUCCAGACGCCUACGGGAGGCAGCAGUGGGGAAUAUUGGACAAUGGGCGAAAGCCUGAUCCAGCCAUGCCGCGUGUAUGAAGAAGGCCUUCGGGUUGUAAAGCACUUUAAGCGAGGAGGAAUGGCUCUGGGUUAAUACCCGUGAGCAGUGACGUUACUCGAAGAAUAAGCACCGGCUAACUCUGUGCCAGCCGCCGCAGUAAAAC
rnacentral:rRNA from 1 species